ACGGCUUAACCCGUGGAGGGUUAUUGGAAACUGGAGGACUUGAGUACAGAAGAGGAGAGUGGAAUUCCACGUGUAGCGGUGAAAUGCGUAGAGAUGUGGAGGAACACCAGUGGCGAAGGCGACUCUCUGGUCUGUAACUGACGCUGAGGAGCGAAAGCGUGGGGAGCGAACAGGAUUAGAUACCCUGGUAGUCCACGCCGUAAACGAUGAGUGCUAGGUGUUAGGGGGUUUCCGCCCCUUAGUGCUGAAGUUAACGCAUUAAGCACUCCGCCUGGGGAGUACGGCCGCAAGGCUGAAACUCAAAAGAAUUGACGGGGGCCCGCACAAGCGGUGGAGCAUGUGGUUUAGUUCGAAGCAACGCGAAGAACCUUACCAGGUCUUGACAUCCUCUGAUAGCGAUAGAGAUAUCGUAUUCCCUUCGGGGACAGAGUGACAGGUGGUGCAUGGUUGUCGUCAGCUCGUGUCGUGAGAUGUUGGGUUAUGUCCCGCAACGAGCGCAACCCUUGAUCUUAGUUGCCAGCAUUAAGUUGGGCACUCUAAGGUGACUGCCGGUGAUAAACCGGAGGAAGGUGGGGAUGACGUCAAAUCAUCAUGCCCCUUAUGACCUGGGCUACACACGUGCUACAAUGGAUGGAACAAAGGGCCGCGAAGCCGCGAGGUGAAGCAAAUCCCAUAAAACCAUUCUCAGUUCGGAUUGUAGGCUGCAACUCGCCUACAUGAAGCCGGAAUCGCUAGUAAUCGCGGAUCAGCAUGCCGCGGUGAAUACGUUCCCGGGCCUUGUACACACCGCCCGU
rnacentral:rRNA from 1 species